GACGAACGCUGGCGGCGUGCUUAACACAUGCCAGUCGAACGGUGAAGCGCUUUCCUUUUUGGUUGUUGUUGUUGAGUGGCGAACGGGUGGGUAACACGUGUGUACCCUGCCCUCUUCUUCUGGAUAACCGCAUGAAAGUGUGGCUAAUACGGGAUAUUCUUCGCCUGCUGCAUGGUGGGAGUGGGAAAGAUUGUGCUUUUUGGUGUUUUCGGCUGGGGGUGGGCUCGCGGACUAUCAGCUUGUUGGUGGGGUGAUGGCCUCCCAAGGCGGUGACGGGUAGCCGGCCUGAGAGGGUGGACGGUCACACUGGGACAGAGACACGGCCCAGACUACUACGGGAGGCAGCAGUGGGGAAGAUUGCACAAUGGGCGCAAGCCUGAUGCAGCGACGCCGCGUGAGGGAGGGAGGCCUUCGGGGUGUGAACCUCUUUCGCCAGUGAAGCAGGCCUGCUCCUUGUGGGUGGGUUGACGGUAGCUGGAUAAGAAGCGCCGGCUAACUACGUG
rnacentral:rRNA from 1 species